rnacentral:rRNA from 1 species
CCUACGGGAGGCUGCAGUAGGGAAUAUUGGUCAAUGGGGGAAAGCCUGAACCAGCAACGCCGCGUGGGGGAUGAAGGUUUUCGGAUUGUAAAACCCUUUUGUUAGAGAAGCUAAUGGCCGUAUGUAACGAAUUAGCACCGGCUGACUCCUAACCAGAAGCCCCGGUACUACGGCGGGUGCAGGCGUUACUCGGAAUCUCUGGGCGUAAAGCGCGCGUAGGCGGGAUAGCAAGUAACAUGUGAAAUCCUAUGGCUUAAGCAUCGAAGUGCAUUUGAAACUGGUAGACUUGAGUGGGGGAGAGGUAGGUGGAAUUCGUGGUGUAGGGGUAAAAUGCGUAGAUAUCAAGAGGAAUACUCAUGGCGAAGGCGGCCUGCUAGAACAUAACUGACGCUGAUGCUCGAAGGCGUGGGGAGCAAACAGGAUUAGAUACCCGAGUAGUC